rnacentral:rRNA from 1 species
UACACUCCUACGGGAGGCAGCAGUGGGGAAUAUUGGACAAUGGGCGCAAGCCUGAUCCAGCCAUGCCGCGUGAGUGAUGAAGGCCCUAGGGUUGUAAAGCUCUUUCACCGGUGAAGAUAAUGACGGUAACCGGAGAAGAAGCCCCGGCUAACUUCGUGCCAGCAGCCGCGGUAAUACGAAGGGGGCUAGCGUUGUUCGGAUUUACUGGGCGUAAAGCGCACGUAGGCGGACUAUUAAGUCAGGGGUGAAAUCCCGGGGCUCAACCCCGGAACUGCCUUUGAUACUGGUAGUCUUGAGUUCGAGAGAGGUGAGUGGAAUUCCGAGUGUAGAGGUGAAAUUCGUAGAUAUUCGGAGGAACACCAGUGGCGAAGGCGGCUCACUGGCUCGAUACUGACGCUGAGGUGCGAAAGCGUGGGGAGCAAACAGGAUUAGAUACCCCUGUAGUCCC